rnacentral:tRNA from 1 species
GCCUUCGUGGUGUAGUGGUCAGCACGCUCGACGCGUAUUCGAGAGAUCGGUGGUUCUAGUCCCGGCGAAGGCA